UCUGAAAACUUACGCAGAGCCCCAAAUCAUUCCACUUAUUUCUUCAACUAGUAAACCUAUCAAACAUCUCACUAAAGGUUAAAACUAGAAUUGUAGGGGGAACUCAAAGAAGAGAGCCCCUCCAAAAAUAGGCGUAUGCCACUGAGUGCAGCGCGCACACGGUAUUCUUUAGUAAAAGGCGAAAGAAUAGUUCGCUCUGCGCUCACUGCGUGGCUGCGUGAACUUUGCUGCUCUUCACAGCUGCCAUUUUAUAUGUAACAGCAAGUUCUGGCAUACUCUUCCACUUUCGAUGUGGGACUCAACUCACUCCUUUCCCUCCGUCGGGUUUUAUUGAAAUUUGAGGCAUCAAAAUUUCAGUUGCUUCACCAUUCCUUCACUUAUGUUAUGUGACAAUCUUCAUGUUUCAAAUAGAAGCGACUUUUGCAUUUCCUUCAUCAUUUGAUUCAUUUAAGCUCUGAUUCGCUUUAGUUUUUGGUGAUUCUGAAGAAAUACAUGCUAACAAUCUUAUCGACUAAAUGUCCACAGGAUGGUGUUGUACUUUAUAUAUUGAAUUUCCAGUGCAGGUUUAGUUUUUAAGCUUAUAAUAAGGACCAAUUGGCAGAAUAAGUAAACAAAGCAGCUGGUUUUGAGUUGGCAUUAGUACGGCAUUGAGAAGUGUAAGGAACAAUAUAUACCUGGAGCUAAGAUUCCGCAAGCCAAUAAAAAUGAGUUGAUGCUGCAGGGUUUGGUGAUGAACUCAAGUUCACAAUUUUUUGUUUUGUUAUAAGAUGGACAAAGUUGUUAUAAGCUAUGGGCUUGUUGGAAGUGUUCUGUUCUGACUACUUUUGGGUACUGGGCAUUUGGAUAAUUAUGGUGAUUCCUGGACGUCGUUAAUUUGCUUUCUGCAUUCUUGGCGCAGCACAGAUAACAAUAUAUUGCUGCAAACUUUGUGCUCCAAUGCAAAGAUCUUAGUAAAAAGAAUUGUCUACUGCCACCAAUCUAAGCAGUUUGGUAUAGCUAGGGAAGUAACGAUCCUAUCAUUUGCUUCAAAGUCAAAAUGUGGGCGAUUUUAGUAAAAAGAAUCUAUCUUGUGCGGCUUAGAAAUGUGUGUUAGCAAAAUUAGCUUUUUCCAAGUUCUGAUAUUAAAACAAUGGAGUAGAAAAACUUUCCCAUAUUCCUAUUGGAGUCUUUCCUUUAAUUUACUAUCUUUAUGGAGGCGUUGCUAAUCAAUCCAUCCACAGGUCAAACUGGAAUUUUUGGUGCUUCUUCUUUGAAGGAAAUGAUUCCGAGUUAAAAGGAUAAAUUAGAGCUAAAUCGAUAAUUGAAGCUUUGAAGUAUGAGUAAAAUCCAUAGAAUUAAACAGGGAUCGCAUCCGGGGCUCUUGGACAGGCGUUGCAUACGAAAGUGGGAAGAAAGUGCAAGGGCCAGAACAAAUGGACUAAGGCGACGCACAAACGCAUUAGUGCAAAUAUGCGUCAAAAGUUUGACAAGUUCAUAGACCGGGUAUUUUUGGUCCGACAAGAAAAUGCACUACUGCGACGCGACCUUCAACGCAUGGUGCGGCGCGCUAAGGCAAAAUUCUGUCAAACACACGGUGUUCAGAGAGUUUGCAACUGAGUAAACAACACUGAUGCGACGCGUGAAGUGCAAAAAGUUUGUUGGGUUUCCACUUUGGCUCAAAGAGGGUAGUUUCAUCCGGGUUCAUUCCUACUUAGUAUAAAUACAUUGGAAACACGUUUUCUGAAGGACUUUUGACCUACGAUAGAUUGGAGAACCAACCAAGGCAAGAAGACUCAAGAAUUCAUCAAGAUUUCAACCAACGAUCGGUGCAAUACGGGAGUUUGUAUCGAAUCAUUGUCGUUGAUUUCUUCUUUGUGUUUAAACCUUAUUGAGAUGAUUUUCUUAUAGCUAUGGAGUAAAUCCCAUUAGGGUGUUGACAGAUACGGUGUUUUGAUAACUUGAUUAGGGAUUCGAUUCUUGAUAA